ACCCUCUCAGGAUCGCACCUGGAGAGUUUCCAGUACUCUACUAGUCUCUGCUAUGGGAGCGAGAGUCAAGCAAAGGCAUGCCGAUUCCAUUCCUAGCUUGGCCAAUGGCUAGUGAGUGGAAGACAAUGUGCUACAAAU